UUUUUUUUUUUUUUGGUCUUUUGUCUUUAUAGGGCUGCACCUGCAGCAUAUGGAGGUUCCCAGGCUAGGGGUCUAAUCGGAGGUAUUGCUGCCGGCCUACACCACAGCCACAGCAACUCUGGAUCCAAGCCGAAUCUGCGACCUAUACCAUAGCUCACGGCAAUGCCAGAUCCUUAACCACUGAGCAAGGCCAGGGAUUGAACCCGCAACCUCAUGGUUCCUAGUUGGAUUCGUUUCCCCUGUGUCAUGACAGGAACCCCUCAUUGUGGUUUUGAUUUGCAUUUCCCUGAUUAUUAGAGAUGUGGAGCAUCUUUUCAUGUGUCUGUUGGCCAUCUGUGUGUCUUAGAAAAAUGUUGAGAUCCUCUGCUUUUUUCUUUUCUUUUCUUUUUUGGUCUUUUUGUCUUUUUAGAACUGUACCCGCGGCAUAUGGAUAUUCCCAAGUUAGGGGUUGAAUCAGAGCUGUAGCUGCCAGCCUAUACCACAACCACAGCAACAUGGGGUCCAAGCUUCAUCUGCAACCUAGACCACAGCUCACAGCAAUGCCAGAUCCUUAACCCACUAAGCAAGGUCAGGGAUCAAGAGCCCAUAUCCUCUCAGAUAUUAGUUGGGUUCAUUAACCACUGAGCUAAAAUGGGAACUCCCCUCUGUCCAUUUUUUAAUCAGGUUUUUUUGUUGCUGUAUGAGUUUUUGUAUAUUUUAAGUAUUAAUCCCUUAUCAAUAUAUCGUUUACAAUUAUCUUCUCCCAUUAGUAGGCAGCCUUACUGGCUUAAGAGUUUCCUUUGUUGUGCAAAACUUUUUAGUUUGAAGUAGUUUCAUUUCUUUAUUGUUUUUUUGCCUUGUUUAGAUUUUUUUUGUUAUUACUCAAUGAAUUUAUUACAUUUAUAGUUGUACAAUGAUCAUCACAAUCCAAUUUUUUAGAAUUUCCAUCCCACAACCCCAGCACAUUCCCCCCACCCCGAACUGUCUCCUUUGGCAACUAUAAGUUUUUCAGAGUCUGUGAGUCAGUAUCUGUUCUGCAAAGAAGUUCAUUCUGUCCUUUUUUCAGAUUCCACAUGUCAGUGAAAGCUUUUGAUGUUGGUGUCUCAUUGUUUGACUGACUUCAUUUAGCAUGAUAAUUUCUAGGUCCAUCCAUGAUGCUAAAAAUGCCAGUAUUUCAUUCCUUUUAAUGGAUGUAGUUUCAUUUCUUUAGUUUUGCUUUUUUGCCCUUGCCUGAGGAGAC
rnacentral:lncRNA from 1 species